CCUACGGGAGGCUGCAGUGGGGAAUAUUGGGCAAUGGAGGAAACUCUGACGCAGCAACGCCGCGUGAAUGAUGAAGGACUUCGGAAUGUAAAGUUCUUUUCGAAGGGAAGAAGAAAGCGACGGUAACUUAGGAAUAAGACUAGGCUAACCACGGACCAGCAGCCGCGGCAAUACGUAGGAGGCGAGCGUUAUCCGGAAUGACUGGGCGUAAAGAGGGCGUAGGUGGGUUGGCAAGUCAGUAGCGUAACUCCAAGGCUCAACCUUGGAACUACUACUAAAACUGUUGGACGUGAGUGCAGGAGGGGCAACCGGAAUUACUGGUGUAGCGGUGGAAUGCGUAGAUAUUAGGAGGAACACCAGUGGCGAAGGCGGGUUGCUAGACUGUAACUGACACUGAGGCACGAAAGCGUGGGGAGCAAACAGGAUUAGAUACCCUAGUAGUC
rnacentral:rRNA from 1 species